rnacentral:rRNA from 1 species
UACGGGGGGGGCAAGCGUUGUUCGGAAUUACUGGGCGUAAAGGGCGCGUAGGCGGUUCGCUAAGUUGAAUGUGAAAACUCUGGGCUUAACCCAGAGCCUGCAUCCAAAACUGGCGAACUGGAGUACUGGAGGGGAAAGCGGAAUUCCUGGUGUAGCGGUGAAAUGCGUAGAUAUCAGGAGGAACACCGGUGGCGAAGGCGCCACUCUGGGCCGAAACUGACGCUGAGGAGCGAAAGCGUGGGUAGCAAACAGG